rnacentral:lncRNA from 1 species
CGCAUACCAACUGUCAUAUUAAACCCUAGCCCCCACGUACUUCCUGCGAAAGCCUAAACCCCACGAUCGCCAGAUGCGCAAACUUCUUAAGGUCUAGCGUAAUCCAUAUCGAGAAAAGCAUGUCAUUCUUCUGCACCGAAGGCAAUAGUGCCAACUCGUCCAACUACGCUUUUUCAAAGCUUCAGUGACCCGGUAUUGGGCUAAGGCGACCAAUAAAAUCUUGCUCAGCAAUCUGGCCAUUGCGCAUAAUAAAAACCCACUGAUGGCACUUUAUUUUCUGGCCAUUGUCGAAGGUGUGCACGAGCUCAUAGCCGAUGUGGGUUAACCUCCCCGAAAUGUCGAUGCUCUCGCACCUGCAGCGUCGUGGGGACAACGGAACGAAAGAGCCUCGCAGCGCAACAAUACGGGUUCUCCUCAAGCUGGUCAAGCUCUUGACCUCCCAUCCUCACACAUAGCCUAAGACCGCGCAUGUGCCUUACCUCUGGCCAUACAUAGCAUGCAUAUCCAGGAACCCACCAGGGAUUCACGCGCCACCAGCCCAAUCCCUCCUCUUCGCCGUCCUUCCCCCAGUUCCUACCCGCGAGAUGUUUCACUCCUUCCCUUGCCAUUUCACCACGAUCCCAAAAUCUCAAGACGCGCUGGACUACCCACCCGUCCACGGGUCCCUCAAAUCCCACACAGCCCAAAUCUCCAAUACAGAGGACGACUUACACGAGCAACACGUCGCCAUCCUCCGUGCAGUACAUCUUGGUGUUGCUCCUGCCGGGCUUGACGUCGCGGCGAAGCAAGAUCGUCACCGUCGAGUUGUCCUUGUUGUAUACCUCCUCGUGCGUGAUCCGGACGCCUAGCGGCAACGUGAGACGCGCCUUUAAGAUGAUCUGGG